UGAAGAUCACUGGGACUGUGAUGGGU
rnacentral:piRNA from 1 species